rnacentral:misc_RNA from 1 species
UAGAGUUUUCUAAACUCCCAACCCAUGUGAACUUACCAUUGUUGCCUCGGCAGAAGCUGCUCGGCGCGCCUUACCUUGGAACGGCCUACCCUGUAGCGCCUUACCCUGGAACGGCUUACCCUGCAACGGCUGCCGGUGGACUACCAAACUCUUGUUAUUUUAUGGUUAUCUGAGCGUCUUAUUUUAAUAAGUCA